UUUCACAGUCCCCAGGUCCAGAACACACUUACCCCACCAGACAUGCCACCAGGGGUCUUUUCACAGUCCCCAGGUCCAGAACACACUUACCCCACCAGACAUGCCACCAGGGGUCUUUUCACAGUCCCCAGGUCCAGAACACACUUACCCCACCAGACAUGCCACCAGGGGUCUUUUCACAGUCCCCAGGUCCAGAACACACUUACCCCACCAGACAUGCCACCAGGGGUCUUUUCACAGUCCCCAGGUCCAGAACACACUUACCCCACCAGACAUGCCACCAGGGGUCUUUUCACAGUCCCCAGGUCCAGAACACACUUACCCCACCAGACAUGCCACCAGGGGUCUUUUCACAGUCCCCAGGUCCAGAACACACUUACCCCACCAGACAUGCCACCAGGGGUCUUUUCACAGUCCCCAGGUCCAGAACACACUUACCCCACCAGACAUGCCACCAGGGGUCUUUUCACAGUCCCCAGGUCCAGAACACACUUACCCCACCAGACAUGCCACCAGGGGUCUUUUCACAGUCCCCAGGUCCAGAACACACUUACCCCACCAGACAUGCCACCAGGGGUCUUU